rnacentral:misc_RNA from 1 species
CUGCAGGGGUACUUGUCGGUCGUCAUAACUGUCUUUCACGGCAGUCGGUCAGUAACGCGAGGACGCGUCGGAAUUGCAGUCAGCAGUGUCCCCAAUCUGAGCGAUAAUCCAGUAGCUCACUUAGUUUCAGAAUCGGCGAUCGCGUGAGUGACAAGUAUUUGUAGGUGUGUUCAGUUUAUUGAAGCCGGUUGUCAUCAACGAGUUUGACACGCCCACUUGUCUCUGCUUUUCCGGUUUGAAGAAAAGGGAGAAAACUCGUCAGCGUCAUAUACAGGACAUUCAAAAUGGCGGCUUUUCACUACAAUUACGCGAUUGUGUCUCGUAUUCCUAACAGUUUCAAAGAUAAAGCAAUUACUGCUGGAAAUGAACAGAUCGACGUAGAGAAGGCGAGAGAAGAGUACAAGGAACUGCUGGUUGUGCUACAGAAAUGCGAUAUAAACCUGAUCGAACUUCAGGAAGAUGAGAAGUACCCCGACUGUUGUUUUGUCGAAGACACGGCUGUUGUGAUCGGGGGGACAGUUCUCAUCACUCGGCCAGGCCAUCCCUCGAGACAAGGGGAGGUUGGUGAGAUCCGCCGAGUUCUGAAAAAUGACCUUCACUUCAACGUGAGUGAGAUGAAAGAGGCUGAUGCCAAGCUGGAUGGAGGAGACGUUCUGUUUACAGGAAAAGAAAUCUUUGUCGGCGUUGGCAAAAGAACAAAUAAUGCAGGAGCAACAGCAGUGGCGACAGCAUUUAUUGAUUACGAUGUCGUCCCCAUCAACAUCGGCGACACGGAUGUCCUUCACCUUAAAGAUGCUGUCAAUGUCAUUGGACGGGAAGAGCUGGUAGUUGCAGGGGGUGACGGUCCACGGACUAUCAUGAAGCGUAUGGAUGCCCUAAAGACGUUCAACUACAAGAUCCUGCAGAUGCCGAGCCCGCUGGGGGCAGACAUGCUGUACCUGAACGGCCGACUCAUCCACAGAACCAAUGAGGAACUCACCAAGGAGGGCUAUGGGCUGCUGGAUGAGAAGCUGCAGUGCACACGACACCAGACGUCGCUGAGGGAACUGAGCAAGGCGUAUGGAACCAUCAGCAGCAUGUGUAUACUGCUCCGUAUCAACCGGCGCAUACAGAAGGUUCUGUCCAACGUCACAGAGCCCGACCUCACACAGUUCCUCAGCAUUGGCCACCAGAAGCCCUGAGUUGACGACCACACAACGCUUAAACUCUCAAAUAUCCUCUGUCUUAACGCUAUGUCUCCUUUAUAGGUAGGAUAUAUGACUAGUAUUAACAUCAGGAUGUUCUGCGCUAACUCUCAUCAUCAGUGAUUUGUACCAGGAAGGAUGUGAUAGUUGAUUCAAGCCAAUUUGUAUGUAAAUAAGGGAAGUUUGUACAUUGUGAGUAUAGGAGAGAGCUGAGUAGGACCGCCGGGAUAUUGCCAAUUAGGUUGACAGUGAAAUUGAAACUGUUGCUUGGAAACCAACAUGGUUGCCAUGGUUACAUAGUCUGGUCUCCUGCUACAACGAAGUGUUACCGUGAUGAGGUUGGUACUUCGGUGUGUGGGGGUUGGGCAUUUUUAGACCUAGAUGGGUGGAUUGGGUGAGUGAAGAAUCAAAUUUUGAAUCAUGUACUGAUCUUCCCCAAUGGGACUAAAAAUAGGUUAAGUUUAUUGAGGAAAAUCAAGGUGAUAUUUGUAUGUAUAUUCUUUGUAGGAUAUGUAGGCUGUGCCAUGCUCUUCUGUGUAGUAUGCAGUGAUGUCAUUGGCUAGAUGACCAGGAUGUAUGAUAUAUUCCACACAUACAAGUAGCUGUAUACGAGAUUGUAAUAUGUUCCUUUAUAUGACAACUCUUAUGAGUCAAGGCGGUCUUCACCCAUUUUCGGUGGCCUAUCUGGAUAGUGCAGAACUUAUUUUCUUCUAUUGUACAGAUCAAGCAAUUUUUCAACUUAUUUUUGACGAUAUUUUUGCUGAAAUUCUUGUCGUUUUUAUAAACAUGUUUGAAAUACACUUGCAAUGAAUUGUAACAGGAAGUCAGUGUACAUACAAGACUGAAAUAAGUGAAAUAACUGUCAUGUUUUGAGUCUGUGGAUGUGCUUCUGGUUCAUGUUAGCUGUAUCUGUCGAGGGAGAUCAGGAUGCGUGGUCACUAACUGAUUCUUAGAUCAAUGUAAUGAUAACACAAACUGAUCCCUCGUAUAGAUUUGACCACACAAGUAGGUAAAGACCACAUUUCACCCUUGGACUACUCUAAAUACACAUAUGCUUAGAUUAAAUGAGCAAGAUCAGCAUAUUGUGACAAAGAACUAGGUCAGUCCUGAGAGAUUGGCAAAUGGGUCUGGAGGAUAUAACAGCUUGUGUCUGUCUUUGUAACAUGGAACAUUAUUUGCAAAUUUCCCUGUACUGUACCCCCCAGAGUAUCUCGUAUUGUAACACCCGCUCUUGUGUGAUGCUAGGGCAUAACUCAGACAUACCAUACUUCAUCUGGCGCCUGUGCCGCCGAGGCUCCUGCAGGAACUCACCAAUCCAGUGCUGUCAUGGAGAUGUGUUACCAUGGUGAUUCUGUAGCAAUGUGGAGUUUACAGAGCAUCUACAGAUUGUUUCAUUGUAUUGUUAUAUUGUUAGCUCACCUGGACUUGUUCCAUGAUCUGUUGUCUUUCAUUAACUGUUAACCUACCCAUCUGCAUGUGUUAAACUGUUGAAUGCAGUCUCACUACUAAGACUUGUGUGAAGCUUAUUUCUGGUGUCCCCUGCAAUGGUGUUGCUGGAAUAUUGCUAAAAGUGGCGUAAAACUGUACUAACUCACUCACUCACUCACUUAGAUUUAUGCUGCAAGAUGCUUACUUUACCAUUGACCAACAGAAAGACUAGAAGGAUUAGACUACAUAAAUUCAUCAUCAGCUGAAACAUGAUAACAUUUCAUGUGAUUAAGCCAGGUGAGCUACAGAGCUCUCGGCUCUAUGUUUCCAUUGUUAAUUGUUACUCACAGAUAUACGAAAUAUUUUUUUAUAAUUUUGUAAUCUACUACACAUGAAUAUUGAUACGUUUCAUGUAGUGCCGAACAUCAUCGACCACAGGGUGGCCAUUGGGCCGACAUCCAGGACAUGAGACAUCCCUGUUUAUCUUUGCUUCCUGGCAAAAAUCCACGAGGUGUAGUUCAGGAUCUCCCCAAUCAUGUUAAUAGAAAUGUUUCUUGUGUAUCAGAGUUUCUGAGGAGUUUGAAAUGAAAUCUUUGUCAUAAAGCUCUCUUGAUUAAAACGUUUGGGUUAUUCAGGCCAUUCUUUUCUUGUUAUUCAUCUUUGUUGCUGGGAUGUGAAAGAUUAUUGAUAUAUUUGAUAUAGUUUCUGUGAAAUGGUUUGUAUAAUAUUUCCCUGUAGCAGAUAUCCUACAGUUGAGAUCCUGUAGUAGAGAUCCUACAGUUGAGAUCUUGUAGUAGAGAUACUACAGUAGAGAUCCAACAGAAGAGAUCCUACAGUAGAGAUCCAACAGAAGAGAUCCUACAGUUGAGAUCCUGUAGCAGAGAUCCUACAGUAGAGAUCCUGUACCAGAAAUACCGUACUUGUACAGCGAUCCAGUGGCAUAGAUCCAACCAAGGUGUUUAUAUUCAUCCUUUAUUUAUCAUAAAAAUGUCCCCAUUCUUCUGGGGGACAUCGGAGGUCAGUGUUUUGCUUGCAUAUCAUUAGCCUAUCAUGUUUUGCUUCGCUGUUCUAUACAUUUUAGCUCAUCUGUUGAAUGUUUGUGUGACUGAUUGCAAUCCCAUUUACAAGGUCUGUGGCAGGUUUUCUCUCCUUCCUCACCUUGACCAUCAAACAUCAGCAAUAACUGUGUGUGUUACGUCCUGUGUUAUUGUAUGGUCUUUGUUGUGAUGAAUGAAAAUUGAACAAAAGCAUGUUCUUUUUAUGGAAUAAGUACUGGACAUCAGAAUAAGCAAUUGUACUUUUCAGACAGUGUUUGUGUUACCAUGUAGACAGAUCCAAUUAUUCCCCUGAGUGCCAGGUCAUUGCAUCUUGCGUCUGUGUUCAAGACACAGCUCCAUGCCCUGAGUGCCAGGUCAUCUCAUCUUAGGUCUGUGUUCAAGACACAGCUCCAUGCCCUGAGUGCCAGGUCAUCUCAUCUUGGGUCUGUGUUCAAGACACAGCUCCAUGCCCUGAGUGCCAGGUCAUCUCAUCAUGGGUCUGUGUUUAAGACACAGCUCCAUGCCCUGAGUGCAAGGUCAUCUCAUCUUGGGUCUGUGUUCAAGACACAGCUCCAUGCCCUGGGUGCCAGGUCAUCUCAUCUUGGGUCUGUGUUUAAGACACACCUCUAUGAUUGAGGAUGGCAAAAUCCUUUUUUCCCUCAACAAUGUUAAAUAAGUGGCAUCGAUGCAGAAAUGCCAAACAUGAUAAAGUGAUUAUCUUGACACCCCCUGAACAUGUCAUUCUGUUCAUGCUGGUCAUUGUCCAGAGUCUCACACUUCCUGGUCUGCAGGGUGAAGACUUGCACAAUCAUCUCCAUGGUUAAUCCAGUGAGAGGUGAGGUGUCGGGGUGGGAGGUGGACAGCUUUCAGCCUAGUAUCUGCAAUGUUGGAUAUAUGCAAACCUCUUCCUUUGUUCAGUGUGUGACACUAACGAUUUAACACACUAUCUCUGUACGAUUGUUAUGUAGGAUUAGUUGAUAUGCUAUGAUAUACAGACUUGUAUCAACCUUGUACUUUGACAUGCCAGUUAUACAUGUUAUGCCAUGCCCAGUCUGACAAUGUUGCUGUAUCAAGCAGUUGGGGUGUACAGCAGUUGUUACAUUGUGGGCAGUGUAGGAGAUAUUUGUCUAUAUUCAGCCUGGUGCCCAGUAGUUACAUGAAGGUCACCCAGUCUAGCUUGCCACUAUUUUCCUUUGACUCUUAAAUGCAUUCUUUGUAUUGCUUGUCAAUUUUUUUGAUAUAUUUAGUCUUUAAUAAAACAUAGUUGAACAGUU